CCCGCCUUCACUCCCGGCCCUAGGGGGUCGGAGUAGGUCCAGCAGGAGUGACCCCCCGGGGCUGUGGGAUCUGAAACUUUUUCUUCUCUACUGCUUGUUCUCCCUUCCUCCAUCCCUCACCCCGAAGCGGGAAGCAGCUUUCUCUUCCCAGCUUCCAUCCAGUCUCUGAGUAGACCAGUCGCAGCUUAGAUGCUGGGAUCGCCUCAGAACACAUUUCUUUGCCCUUCACGGCCACUACCGGUAUUGGGGUAUGCGAGUCUCAGGGCCGUUCGUUGCUCACAGGUCGAGCUGGUCUGGACUCUGUUCGACCACGAAUCAUGACUCCUUCCUGCCAGUUAUGUCCCCUCCGCACCCUUGCCCAGCCAUUUUACCAGGCCUCUCCACAUUGCGCUGCCCCACGGUUCCUUUGAAGUAAAAUAAGCUGCAAAAUAUGAAGAGCUGGCCGACCUUAUCAAGCUUGAAGAUCUUUAAAAAGAAAAGUAAAAGUAAUGCAAGAGAACAAAAAGAUUGUCAGUGAAAGAUAUAUAAUUGCAUUAAGGUGUGGCCCUAAUCUUUCCACAGUCAAGCGUGUACUACUAUUUCACAGCAUUUUCC
rnacentral:lncRNA from 1 species